rnacentral:rRNA from 1 species
UAAGCCAUGCGAGUCGAGAGGGUUCGGCCCUCGGCGUACUGCUCAGUAACACGUGGAUAACCUGCCCUAGGGAAGGGGAUAAUCCCGGGAAACUGGGGAUAAUACCCUAUAGGUUACAGAUGCUGGAAUGCUCUGUAAUCAAAAGUUCCGGCGCCCUAGGAUGGAUCUGCGGCCGAUUAGGUUGUUGUUGGGGUAAUGGCCCAACAAGCCAGUAAUCGGUACGGGUUGUGGGAGCAAGAGCCCGGAGUUGGAUUCUGAGACACGAAUCCAGGCCCUACGGGGCGCAGCAGGCGCGAAAACUUUACAAUGCGGGCAACCGUGAUAAGGGAACCUCGAGUGCCUGUAAACGCAGGCUGUUCAGAUGCCUAAAACACAUCUGGAGAAAGGGCCGGGCAAGACCGGUGCCAGCCGCCGCGGUAAUACCGGCGGCUCGAGUGGUGGCCACUUUUAUUGGGCUUAAAGCGUUCGUAGCUGGGUUGUUAAGUCUCUUGGGAAAUCUGGCGGCUUAACCGUCAGGCGUCUAAGGGAUACUGGCAAUCUUGGAACCGGGAGAGGUGAGGGGUACUUCGGGGGUAGGAGUGAAAUCCUGUAAUCCUCGAGGGACCACCUGUGGCGAAGGCGCCUCACCAGAACGGCUUCGACAGUGAGGGACGAAAGCUGGGGGAGCAAACCGGAUUAGAUACCCGGGUAGUCCCAGCCGUAAACUAUGCUCGCUAGGUGUCAGGCAUGGCGCGACCGUGUCUGGUGCCGCAGGGAAGCCGUGAAGCGAGCCACCUGGGAAGUACGGCCGCAAGGCUGAAACUUAAAGGAAUUGGCGGGGGAGCACAACAACGGGUGGAGCCUGCGGUUUAAUUGGACUCAACGCCGGACAACUCACCGGGGACGACAGCAAUAUGUAGGCCAGGCUGAAGACCUUGCCUGAAUCGCUGAGAGGAGGUGCAUGGCCGUCGCCAGUUCGUACUGUGAAGCAUCCUGUUAAGUCAGGCAACGAGCGAGACCCA